rnacentral:rRNA from 1 species
GACGAACGCUGGCGGCGUGCUUAACACAUGCAAGUCGAACGGUAAGGCCCUUCGGGGUACACGAGUGGCGAACGGGUGAGUAACACGUGGGUGAUCUGCCCUGCACUUCGGGAUAAGCCUGGGAAACUGGGUCUAAUACCGGAUAGGACUCCGGACUGCAUGGUCUGGGGUGGAAAGCUUUUGCGGGGUGGGAUGGGCCCGCGGCCUAUCAGCUUGUUGGGGGGGUGAUGGCCUACCAAGGCGACGACGGGUAGCCGGCCUGAGAGGGUGACCGGCCACACUGGGACUGAGAUACGGCCCAGACUCCUACGGGAGGCAGCAGUGGGGAAUAUUGCACAAUGGGCGCAAGCCUGAUGCAGCGACGCCGCGUGAGGGAUGACGGCCUUCGGGUUGUAAACCUCUUUCAGCAUCGACGAAGCGAAAGUGACGGUAGGUGCAGAAGAAGGACCGGCCAACUACGUGCCAGCAGCCGCCGUAA